ensembl:lncRNA
CGUGCCGCCAUCUUGUAGCAGAACUUCACUUGCGUUAGCAUCCCAUUGACUCCCAUUCAUUUUGGCGUCAUUUUGACAGCGAAUAACUUUACAUCUGAGGCGUUUAAAGACUCCAUUUGUCCAUUAUUUAUUUCUAAAGAUACACGACAAUGUAUAAAGGGCUCCAUUACCUUCUAUGUUACAUUAUGGCCCCGUAGAAACAGUUUUUGUAAAAAAUAGGCUAACGAUUGCGUCAUAACCACUCGACUCUCUGUCGCACAGUAGAGAAAUUACCGUACAGACAGGAGGAGAAGCUCGCAGGCAAUCGGGGAGACGUCAAGAGAUAUGGCGUACUGGCGUUACAUUUUAUAAUACUAUAUAAAAUAAUUAAUCAGAAUACUUACUCCUGCUCACUCAGGCCAAAGAACUCCCCGCUCAAGCUCGCCGUCUCUGCCAGAUUAACGAUGGCAUUUUGCACGCACAGCUACUAGAAGGUUUACAUCUGUCAGACAGGUUGCUGACGUCAUCAAGCGUAGUUUGAGUCUGCGGAAGUGCUAAAAAUCGCUAAAAAUGGGCUUCACUUGUCUCAAUUGAGUUCCAAUGGGGUCGCUGUGUCCAUUUCUUUUACUGUCUAUGGAAGGGCAUGAGAUGUUUAUCGCUAUGAAAUCACGUUCAAGAAGUCUCAUUCAGCACACAUCGCGAUAUUUGCCAUCACUUUGCAUUGGCCACAGGUCGUAAAUACGCUCUUUUAAUGCCUGUUAUAAAAUGUAUUCUGUCUUCUUUAUUAAUCAGAAUAGCGCCGUAUGUUUCCUCGCUGUAUUAUAUAAUUCAUCCGAGUCUGUUUUUGAGUUUCAUUGCGUUUAACUAAAUGAACACACCAGCUAACUGGGGUGAUUAAACGGACGUGCCAUCGACCUUGGAUCCGUUUUAUACUCGUUUCAGGUUCAAAGAUGCAAGUUGUAUUUGUAGUAAAAUCAUGCUGAAAAGACAUAAAGGAAGCAGUCAGCCCAGUCGUGUUUGUGGAGAGGUAUUCCUUCAGAAAUGGAGAAGACAGAAAGCUGCGGAGGCACACAUUUGCAGCGAAAUCAGUAGAUGCAGUUCUCCAUAUCUGAGGUGAUACCAGGUGACUUCAUAUCGGUUUCUCAUGCUGCAAUUCAGACUGAUGUUUUCUCCCAUCUAAACCCUUAACAGAUCAGAAGAUCCUUGUACUGACACAUCUAGAGAGACAUUUAUAUACGUAACACUUGUGAAAUAAAAUAACUAAAAAAGAAGUGCA